CAGCAGCCGCGGGAAUACAGAGGGUGCGAGCGUUAAUCGGAUUUACUGGGCGUAAAGCGUGCGUAGGCGGCUUCUUAAGUCGGAUGUGAAAUCCCUGAGCUUAACUUAGGAAUUGCAUUCGAUACUGGGAAGCUAGAGUAUGGGAGAGGAUGGUAGAAUUCCAGGUGUAGCGGUGAAAUGCGUAGAGAUCUGGAGGAAUACCGAUGGCGAAGGCAGCCAUCUGGCCUAAUACUGACGCUGAGGUACGAAAGCAUGGGGAGCAAACAGGAUUAGAUACCCCAGUAGUCCCUGUCUCUUUACA
rnacentral:rRNA from 1 species